rnacentral:rRNA from 1 species
ACAAGGGCAGCAAGUUCGCGAGGACAAGCCAAUCCCAUAAACCGUGGCUCAGUUCAGAUCGUAGGCUGCAACUCGCCUACGUGAAGGAGGAAUCGCUAGUAAUCGCAGGUCAGCAUACUGCGGUGAAUACGUUCCCGGGCCUUGUACACACCGCCCGUCACACCAUGGAAGUUGGCCACGCCCGAAGCCGUUACUCCAACCCUUGUGGAGGAGGACGUCGAAGGUGGGGCUGAUGACUGGGGUGAAGUCGUAACAAGGUAGCCGUACCGGAAGGUGCGGCUGGAUCACCUCCUAA